rnacentral:rRNA from 1 species
GAUGAACGCUGGCGGCGUGCUUAACACAUGCAAGUCGAACGGAAAGGCUCCUGCUUGCCGGGGUACUCGAGUGGCGAACGGGUGAGUAACACGUGGGUGAUCUGCCCUGCACUUCGGGAUAAGCCUGGGAAACUGGGUCUAAUACCGGAUAGGACCGCAUUUUGGAUGGUGUGGUGGAAAGUUUUUCGGUGUGGGAUGAGCUCGCGGCCUAUCAGCUUGUUGGUGGGGUAAUGGCCUACCAAGGCGUCGACGGGUAGCCGGCCUGAGAGGGUGUACGGCCACAUUGGGACUGAGAUACGGCCCAGACUCCUACGGGAGGCAGCAGUGGGGAAUAUUGCACAAUGGGCGCAAGCCUGAUGCAGCGACGCCGCGUGGGGGAUGACGGCCUUCGGGUUGUAAACUCCUUUCGCUAGGGACGAAGCGCAAGUGACGGUACCUGGAGAAGAAGCACCGGCUAACUACGUG